AUUGAACGCUGGCGGCAUGCCUUACACAUGCAAGUCGAACGGCAGCACGGACUUCGGUCUGGUGGCGAGUGGCGAACGGGUGAGUAAUGUAUCGGAACGUACCUUUCAGUGGGGGAUAACGUAGCGAAAGUUACGCUAAUACCGCAUAUUCUGUGAGCAGGAAAGCAGGGGAUCGCAAGACCUUGCGCUGAUUGAGCGGCCGAUAUCAGAUUAGCUAGUUGGUGGGGUAAAGGCCUACCAAGGCGACGAUCUGUAGCGGGUCUGAGAGGAUGAUCCGCCACACUGGAACUGAGACACGGUCCAGACUCCUACGGGAGGCAGCAGUGGGGAAUUUUGGACAAUGGGGGCAACCCUGAUCCAGCCAUGCCGCGUGAGUGAAGAAGGCCUUCGGGUUGUAAAGCUCUUUCGGCCGGGAAGAAAUCGCAUAGGCUAAUACCCUGUGUGGAUGACGGUACCGGAAUAAGAAGCACCGGCUAACUACGUGCCAGCCGCCGCGGUAAGAC
rnacentral:rRNA from 1 species